ensembl:lncRNA
GAAACACCAUUAUUUAAUCAAAAUAGACUUUUACUUUUAAAUUAAAGAAAUUUAAAAAGUACACAUACAGUGUUGGGAUCAUGAGCUUGUAAUCAUAACCCCAACACUGCAUGCAUUCACCCCUGGCGGGGCGCGUGCCACAGUGGGCCACCUUUGUGGGACAGCCAGAUCUGGUGUGGGCUAGGAGCCUCUGGCACUCUGAGGCGCCCUUGGCCUACAGGCUUGCCGGGACCGUGCUCCCGCCCACUGGAUCAAGAUGGAGGAGGAACAGGAAAAAGGGCGACCGCUGGCGUUUCAGAUCCAGGGAGAUUUCUAGCAGUCCUUCACCCUUUUGGCAGGUGCUUUACGAAAGAAAAAUUGCCAACCUUUGCUCUAAAGCAUAAUUGAGGAAAAAUAAAGGAAAAAUGGAACAGGUGAACCUAAGAAACCAACAAAGCAGAAGGAAGAACACAGCAUUAAACUAGUAAAACAACACACCCUCCAUCAAAAUCAGAAAAUGCUCCACACCUAUAGCACCAAUUCUUCCAAUCAAGAUUGAUCAUGGCAUGCCUUCCUGCUAAGUCUCAACAUGGUCUUUCAAUUAGUCUAGUGAUCCAAGUAUCAAUAAUGGGAAGUGACACUUGAAACCAAUUUUCUAUCCGGAACCUCUUCUUUAGAGGAUGUCACCAAGCUUCAUAUGCUGAAACUAUUUUUCUGGAAAAAGAAGUAAAUUUGAAGAAUUCAAAGGUUUUGUAGGGUGCUUAUCCUUAAGUUAGAAGUCAUUCCUGGUCUCUGCUUUUCCUGAACUGGACUCAGCAGCCCUCCAAGUACAAUUUUUAGAGACCAACUGGAAAAAGAAAGAACUGAAAGCUUCUAAGAAACAUCUGUCUUCAGAGGAAGGAGAGAGGAACUCCUGUCAGAGAUGGCCAUGGUCCUUCAUUUGUUACUCUACCAUUCCAGUCCUAUAGAAGUAUCAGGGCAGCUAAAAUGGAAUACUGCUAUGAAAAUUCAACAAAAUUGAUAAAAUGUGAAGAAAUUGAUUGGAAUAGCUUUCCAGAGGUUAACUUGAAUUAUAAAGUAAUAGUAGUUGUUGAAUAAAGAAGAGCAGGUAAUUGUAAGGCUUUUUCUCGCGUGUGGGAUAGAUGGAGGAGGAGAAUUGGAUUUCUUGGACUGUGCUUGAGAAUUAAGUUAAGGAUGGAGGUACAGAAGAGAUGAGAGAUGACACAAGGUAUAUUUCAAUGGAAAAGUAAUAGUUAAUAUGUGCUUGCUUCUGGGGAUAACUGGAAGCCAGAGGCCUAGGAAUGAAUUAAGGAGAAAGAAAGUCAUAGCCUGCAUGAAUUUACGAAAGUAAGAAAAGCUAACUAAGGAUGUUCCUGUUAUAUUUCAAUCCACGGAAGCGGUAGAGCUGAUUCAAAGGAUACACAAAUUAUGAUAGAAGAAAAAAACCUGGAAUUGACUCAUAGUUUCUUUGUCCCAAAGUAGUGUAUUUUCUUUUUUAAAAUUAGAACUCAGGCCACUAAAUUUGUUAUUGUGCUAAAACUAGGAACAGAAUUGGAUUAUCUCCUGGUUUUGACUUUCUCCUUGGGAAUAAACUUUUACUACAAAGUAGAUUGUGGCAUAUAGUAACGGUAUUUUUAUUGUACAGCUCGUUGGUUUGUAUUAAAUUCCCACCCCAAGAUCUGCCUUCUUUUUACAAGGAAACAUUGUUCUAUGGGAUUGUGUGUUUAGAUAUGCAUUUAAAACAUGUCUACCACCUUAGGAGAAAAAAUAGCCUCUGAGAUUUGGACCACACAUUGUUGGUACAGAAGCUGAAGAUGAUGUUUUCAUUUACCUCACAAAAUGCCACGCUUUUCUGUGUUUAAUUUCUAUUUCCUUCUUUCCCUCUACUUUUCACCCUUUUUGCAUAGUUAAAUCUUCAAAUCUGGUAAAAAAAAAAAAAAAACAAAACCUCAACCCCACUACAUUUAUUCUAAAUUCACGAGGAUUGUAUUUACUUAAAAAAAUACUUCUUUCAGGAUUGACACAGUACUUCUGCUUUCAGUAAAUCCAACAAUACUCAGUGUUACUGGAUGUUGGAUGGUAGCUUCACAGCAUUAAGAAUGCAGCAUGCAGCAUGAUGAAGAUCAAAAUGACUUACGCAGGCUUGAGCAGCUGUGCUGCCCAUAGGGUCAGGCAUUCUAGUUGGUGUGAUGAAACGUUUAUAAAUUAAACCAUUCAUGUGCAUUUUGUAUUGAUUUUCUAACAUACAAAAUGAGUGUCUUACCAGCAGAAUAAAAUACAAUAAAAUAUGUGUUUUUUUAAAUUGUGGGA